rnacentral:rRNA from 1 species
UUCCGGUUGAUCCUGCCGGACCUCACUGCUAUCGGGGUGAGACUAAGCCAUGCAAGUCGCGCGUCUCCAGACUAUGGUGGAGAAGCGGCGUACGGCUCAGUAAUACAUGGCCAACUUACCCUCAAGACAGAGAUAACCCCGGGAAACUGGGACUAAUAUCUGGUAGAUGAUGAUGUCUGGAAUGACACAUCGUUUAGAAGGCGCGGGAGCCAUGUUUCCUAGCGUCGCUCGAGGAUAGGACCAUGUCCGAUCAGGCUGUUGGUGAGGUAGCGGCCCACCAAACCUAUAACCGGUACGGGCCGUGGGAGCGGUAGCCCGGAGAUGGAUCCUGAGACAAGGAUCCAGGCCCUACGGGGCGCAGCAGGCGCGAAAACUCCGCAAUGUGCGAAAGCGUGACGGGGUCACCCCGAGUGUUGUCUGCAGAAGACAACUUUUCCUCGGUUUACAAAGCCGGGGGUAAUAAGGGGAGGGCAAGCCUGGUGUCAGCCGCCGCGGUAAUACCAGCUCCCCGAGUGGUGAGGACGAUUAUUGGGCCUAAAGCGUCCGUAGCCGGCUUGGCAAGUUUCCCGUCAAAUCCGACGACAUAAUCGCCGGACCGCGGGAAAUACUACCACGCUAGGAGGCGGGAGAGGCCGGCGGUACUUACGGGGUAGGGGUGAAAUCCAUUAAUCCCGUGAGGACCACCAGUGGCGAAGGCGACCGGCCAGAACGCGCUCGACGGUGAGGGGCGAAAGCUGGGGGAGCGAACCGGAUUAGAUACCCGGGUAGUCCCAGCUGUAAACGAUG